AUUAAGCUGAUUGUUUAUGUCGUAUUCCAUAUAGUCUAACUUGUCACUGCAGGAGGGUUCAUUGCAGUGGCAAAGGUGAAGUAAAGAUGAGUUGGCCAUGCACCAUAUUUUGCCCAGGUCCGAUCUUUACUUUAGAGGAGGCCGUUACAACAGAUGAAAGACCAGAUCCAGGAAA